CGAAAGGACCAUAGUUAAAUAAUAUUUAUUUUUUAUUGAUUAAUAUUAA
rnacentral:rRNA from 1 species